GUGGAUUAGAUACCCGAGUAGUCCACGCCCUAAACGAUGUCAACUAGCCGUUGGGUCCAUUGAAGGGCUUAGUGGCGCAGCUAACGCGAUAAGUUGACCGCCUGGGGAGUACGGCCGCAAGGUUAAAACUCAAAGGAAUUGACGGGGGCCCGCACAAGCGGUGGAGCAUGUGGUUUAAUUCGAUGCAACGCGAAGAACCUUACCAGGCCUUGACAUCCUCGGAACUUUCCAGAAAUGGAUUGGUGCCUUCGGGAACCGAGAGACAGGUGCUGCACGGUCGUCGACAGCU
rnacentral:rRNA from 1 species